rnacentral:rRNA from 1 species
ACCCUAAGGGUUCCUCCGGCAGGCUCGUCCGCGGAGGGUUAGUCUGGACCUAAGGCGAGGCCGAAAGGCGUAGUCGAUGGAUAACAGGUCAACAUUCCUGUACCGGUUAUGUUUUGGGAAGAGGGACGGAGAAGGCUAGCCAAGCCAGAUGUUGGUUACUGGUUCAAGCGUUCGAGGCGUUGAGGAUCGGCGAA